rnacentral:rRNA from 1 species
AGAGUUUGAUCCUGGCUCAGAAUCAACGCUGGCGGCGUGCCUAACACAUGCAAGUCGAGCGAGAAAGUGGAGCAAUCCAUGAGUACAGCGGCGCACGGGUGAGUAACACGUGACUAACCUACCCUCGAGUGGGGAAUAACUUCGGGAAACCGAGGCUAAUACCGCAUAAUACCCACGGGUCAAAAGAGCAAUCUGCUUGAGGAGGGGGUCGCGGCCGAUUAGUUAGUUGGCGGGGUAAUGGCCCACCAAGACGAUGAUCGGUAUCCGGCCUGAGAGGGCGCACGGACACACUGGAACUGAAACACGGUCCAGACUCCUACGGGAGGCAGCAGUGGGGAAUUUUGCGCAAUGGGGGAAACCCUGACGCAGCAACGCCGCGUGGAGGAUGAAGUCCUUCGGGACGUAAACUCCUUUCGAUCGGGACGAUGAUGACGGUACCGAGAGAAGAAGCCCCGGUUAACUUCGUGCCAGCAGCCGCGGUAAUACGAGGGGGGCGAGCGUUGUUCGGAAUUAUUGGGCGUAAAGGGUGCGU